rnacentral:rRNA from 1 species
UACGGGGGGGGCAAGCGUUGUUCGGAAUUACUGGGCGUAAAGGGCGCGUAGGCGGUGAGAUGCGUCCGUUGUGAAAUCGCUCGGCUCAACUGGGCGGGGUCAGCGGAUACGGCGUGGCUGGAGCAAGCUAGGGGGCAAUGGAAUUCCCGGUGUAGUGGUGGAAUGCGUAGAUAUCGGGAGGAACACCAGUGGCGAAGGCGGUUGCCUGGAGCUUUGCUGACGCUGAUGCGCGAAAGCGUGGGGAGCGAUCCGG